AUAUAAUUAGUAUAAACAUUACACUGGUUUUUCAGGCCAAAAAUUUGGUGCCACCAAAUUAUAUA
rnacentral:tRNA from 1 species